rnacentral:rRNA from 1 species
CCAGAGAAUUUGGCAGAGAUGCCUUAGUGCCUUCGGGAACUCUGAGACAGGUGCUGCAUGGCUGUCGUCAGCUCGUGUUGUGAAAUGUUGGGUUAAGUCCCGCAACGAGCGCAACCCUUAUCCUUUGUUGCCAGCGAUUCGGUCGGGAACUCAAAGGAGACUGCCGGUGAUAAACCGGAGGAAGGUGGGGAUGACGUCAAGUCAUCAUGGCCCUUACGGCCAGGGCUACACACGUGCUACAAUGGCGCAUACAAAGAGAAGCGACCUCGCGAGAGCAAGCGGACCUCAUAAAGUGCGUCGUAGUCCGGAUUGGAGUCUGCAACUCGACUCCAUGAAGUCGGAAUCGCUAGUAAUCGUAGAUCAGAAUGCUACGGUGAAUACGUUCCCGGGCCUUGUACACACCGCCCGUCACACCAUGGGAGUGGGUUGCAAAAGAAGUAGGUAGCUUAACCUUCGGGAGGGCGCUUACCACUUUGUGAUUCAUGACUGGGGUGAAGUCGUAACAAGGUAAGCGUAGCGAG